rnacentral:rRNA from 1 species
UACGUAGGGGCGAGCGUUGUCCGGAUUUAUUGGGCGUAAAAGGCUUGUAGGUGGCCACGCCAAGUCGGAUGUGAAAUCUCCCGGCUCAACUGGGAGGGUCAUUCGAUACUGGCGGGCUCGAGGCCGGUAGGGGUAGCGGAAUUCCCGGUGUAGUGGUGGAAUGCGUAGAUAUCGGGAGGAACACCAGUGGCGAAGGCGGCUACCUGGACCGGUUCUGACACUGAGG